GCAAUGCUACUUGUAAAGCUCUUUCAUCGAGUGCGCGAUCAUGACAUGACUCGAGAAAGAAGCCUUAACUAACUCCGUGCCAGCAGCCGCGAUAAGACGGGGGGCAAGUGUUCUUCGGAAUGACUAAGCAUAAAGGGCACGUGGGCAGUGAAUCGGGUUGAAAGUGAAAGUCACCAAAAACUGGCGGAAUGCUCUUAAAACUAAUUCACUUAAGUGAGACAGAGUAGAGUGAAAUUUCGUGUGUAGGGGUAAAAUCCGGAGAUCUACGAAGGAACGCCAAAAGCGAAGACAGCUCUUUGGGUCCCUACCGAUGCUGGGGUGCGAAAGCAUGGGGAGCGAACAGGAUUAGAUACCCUGGUAGUCCAUGCCGUAAACGAUGAGUGUUCGCCCUUGGUCUACGCAAAUCAGGGGCCCAGCUAAUGCGUGAAACACUCCGCCUGGGGAGUACAGUCGCAAGACCGAAACUCAAAGGAAUUGACGGGGGCCUGUACAAGCGGUGGAGCAUAUAGUUUAAUUUGAUACAACGCGCAAAACCUUACCAGCCCUUGACAUAUGAACAACAAAACUUGUCCUUAAUGGGAUGGUACUAACUUUCAUACAGGUGCUGCACGGUUGUCGUCAGCUCGUGUCGUGCAAUGUUUGGUCAAGUCCUAUAAUGAGCGAAACCCUCAUUUUAUGUUGCUGAGACAUGUGCCUAAGGCCGCUAAGGGCAACCGAAGUGAGCCGAGGAGCCGAGUGACGUGCCAGCGCUACUAAUUGAGUGCCAGCACGUAGUUAUGCUGUCAGUAAGAAGGUAGCCGGCGCCUUUCAAAGCACUUUCUAGUUAGCCCUUUAGUUUGAUUGAAGCUAGAGCGCUUGACUAAUAAGAAGACUCGGCAUUCAGGCGAGCCGCCUGAUGGUAUGGAACGUAGUGGAUUUAGUACGCCCUACCAAAAUGGCUCCGAAACAAACAAAAAGGUGCGUGCCGCACUCACGAAGGACUACCAGUGAUAUACUGGAGGAAGGUGAGGAUGACGUUAAGUCCGCAUGGCCCUUAUGCACUGGGCCACACACAUGCUACAAUGGCAAUUACAAUGGGAAGCAAGGCUGUAAGGCAGAGCAAAUCCGGAAAGAUUGCCUCAAUUCAGAUUGUUUUCUACAACUCGGGACCAUGAAGUUGGAAUCGCUAGUAAUCGCGGAUAGCAUGCCACAGUGAAUAUGUACCCGGGCCCUGUACACACCGCCCGUCACACCCUAGAAAUUGGUUUCGCCCGAAGCAUCGGAUCAAUGAUCACCCAUGACUUCUGUGUCACACUAGUGCCACAAAGGCUUUUGGUAGUCUUAGUGGCGCAUACCAUGGUGGGGUCUUUGACUGGGGUGAAGUCGUAACAAGGUAGGCGUAGGGGAACCUGUGGCUG
rnacentral:rRNA from 1 species